GAUUAAUUAAAUUUAAAAAGGAUUUAAAGUCACGAAAUAACUUGCGCAACAUACUAUUUUAUAUUAGGUAAUAUAUUAAUUGUUGCAAAAAUUAUAAAAAAGUAGUAUUUUGGGGUGAUAGGCCAACAAAAGUUAAGAUAUCUUGAUCCUUUAAAAAGUAUACAGUACAUAGACAAACAAGUAGUGGUUAGGCUUCUUGUAAAUAUUAAAUUAAUUUAAUAUAUCUAUUGAUUUAAAUACCUUUAGAACUACAAAAUAAAAUUAAUUUUUAAUAUAAUUAUAUAAAAUUUCUAGGUACUAAUAAUUCAUAAAAUAGUUGAUUAUGUUUAUAUUAGUAAUUAAAUAGAUAUUUAAAAAGAACUCGGCAAAACUCCCACUCAACUGUUUAUCAAAAACGUAACUAUAUGAAAUAAUAUAUAGCUAUUUCUGCACAAUGUAAUUAUAAAUUGCCGCAGUACUCUGACUGUGCUAAGGUAGCAUAAUCAAUUGGCCCAUAAUUGGGGUCUAGAAUGAAUGAAAUUAUGAGUGGGGACUGUUUCUUAGAUAAUUAAUUAACUUACUUACCAAGUGAAAAUUCUUGUAAAAAAAUAAUAGACGAGAAGACCCUAGAAAUUUUUAUGAAAUGUUCAAAUUUAAUUUUUGUUGGGGCGACAAAAUAACAAAUAACUUAUUUUAGUUAAUAUUACCUUUAUAAAAAUAAAAUGCAAAUUACUCUAGGGAUAACAGCAUAAUAUUUUAAAGUUUGUGACCUCGAUGUUGGACUAGGAUUAAAUAGUCUAAAA
rnacentral:rRNA from 1 species